rnacentral:misc_RNA from 1 species
CAAAGUUCUCAUCAAUAGAAACGAAUUAAGUUCAAACAGCAGGUAAUUGCUAUAAAUCGUUAAAGAGUUCCCUCGACUAACUUUUGUCUCCAUCAUCAGACUGUAAUGGCACUUAUAACUCAUACAGGUUCAAAGUUCUCAUCAAUAAAAACGAAUUAAGUUCAAAAAGCAGAUAAUUGCUAUAAAUUGUUGAAGAGUUCCCUCGACUAUCUUUCUUCUCCAUCAUCAGAUCGAGUCCAGACCUUUAUUAAAUAGUAGUGCUUUAUAGUACUUAAUGAAAACGUGAUUAAAUUUACUAGUCACCCUUACGAUUUUUGAAAGUUUCCCUCGAUUUCUCUGGGAUCCCAUCAUCAGAUCCUGGUUUCCUUAU